GCAUAUCAAUAAGCGGAGGAAAAGAAACUAACAAGGAUUCCCCUAGUAACUGCGAGUGAAGCGGGAAAAGCUCAAAUUUAAAAUCUGGCGGUCUUUGGCCGUCCGAGUUGUAAUCUAGAGAAGUGUUAUCCGCGCUGGACCGUGUACAAGUCUCCUGGAAUGGAGCGUCAUAGAGGGUGAGAAUCCCGUCUUUGACACGGACUACCAGUGCUUUGUGAUACGCUCUCAAAGAGUCGAGUUGUUUGGGAAUGCAGCUCAAAAUGGGUGGUAAAUUCCAUCUAAAGCUAAAUAUUGGCGAGAGACCGAUAGCGAACAAGUACCGUGAGGGAAAGAUGAAAAGAACUUUGGAAAGAGAGUUAAACAGUACGUGAAAUUGCUGAAAGGGAAACGCUUGAAGUCAGUCGCGUUGGCCGGGGAUCAACCUUGCUUUUGCUGGGUGUACUUUCCGGUUGACGGGUCAGCAUCAAUUUUGACCGUUGGAUAAAGUGUAGGGGAAUGUGGCAUCUUCGGAUGUGUUAUAGCCUUUGCUCGUAUACAACGGUUGGGAUUGAGGAACUCAGUACGCCGCAAGGCCGGGAAUUUAUUCCACGUUCGUACUUAGGAUGCUGGCAUAAUGGCUUUAAUCGACCCGUCUUGAAACACGGACCAAGGAGUCUAACAUGCCUGCGAGUGUUUGGGUGGAAAACCCGAGCGCGUAAUGAAAGUGAAAGUUGAGAUCCCUGUCGUGGGGAGCAUCGACGCCCGGACCAGACCUUUUGUGACGGAUCUGCGGUAGAGCAUGUAUGUUGGGACCCGAAAGAUGGUGAACUAUGCCUGAAUAGGGUGAAGCCAGAGGAAACUCUGGUGGAGGCUCGUAGCGAUUCUGACGUGCAAAUCGAUCGUCAAAUUUGGGUAUAGGGGCGAAAGACUAAUCGAACCAUCUAGUAGCUGGUUCCUGCCGA
rnacentral:rRNA from 1 species